UAAAAUAUAAGAAAUAAUUGAAUUAACAAUAUCGUCACCUUAACUUAACAUACUAACCAUAUAAAAGUGGACUCCAACUUUGAUAAAUAAAAGAUGAAUAUCUCUUUUGUUCCUCUCUGUUAAAGUUCUAUUUGAACUCCUCAUUUUCCUCCCUAGUGGAGUCUCACAUUUGCACCUUUUGGGGAGCCCAUUUGACCGAUCACAAUGCUUUGGGGUGUCAUCAAGAUGACUGGCAACCACCAACCACCAACCACCAUCCAUAACUAGUCUAUCUACAUAGCCAACCAGCAAAUCUCUGUAAAAAAUUAUAUUCUCCAAAUGAGAUGGGGUAUUCAAUAUAAAAGAAUGAAGACAAGGGAUAAACUUACUGAAAAGAAAAUAGUAAUGACAAGGAGCAAAGAUUGGAAGAAAAAAUGACGCGUGAGUGUGAAAGUAGAUGAAUUCAAAGACGUGUUCAGAAUAUUUAUGAAAAGAGAAAAAACAGCUAGGUGUUUCCUCUCGAACCAACUACCGUGGCAGCUAUAGAUCCAAUCUCAUUGUUGCAACACAUCUAAAAGAAAGAAUAAUAAACCGUUAUUAAAGUACUGGACUCAGAAGGAUCUAACUCCACACCUCAACCCUUAACAUUUGAAUAGCAAAAGUUACAUUUAAGAAAAAGUUGAGACCUUCAUAAUGACAUCUUCCUCAUGCUUUGGUGCUAGCAGAAAUUUUGGUGAUGACCAGGCAUUGACCCUCAACCCCCUCCUCUCCCCCAAGAGUUCAGGGAGAAGGUGGAGCUUACAAUAUGCACAUGGGCAAGUUCAUCUCCCAGCGGAAAGUCAAUAUGGGCAAGGUGAAAGGUGGCAUCCGUUGAGCCUGGCUGUAGAUCAGAGGGAUGACCAUCGAUGAGGCCAGGGACUACAAGUUUGAGUAUGAGAAGGUGUCAUACGGGGGUAAGUUUUGUGAGAGAAUGGGCCACCUGAUCCAUGAUUGCAAGUGGAAGAAAAAGAGGAAGACGCAACUAAAGAACUGAGGGGACAUAGAGGGAAAGAAGCGGUGGUGGAGGACGAUGCGUUAUCGCCUCGUCUGAAGAUGGAAGAAAUGCGCUCUCCUAUGCCUGGCUUUGCGUGGCUCCACUUCCGAGAUGUGCACAAGAGAGAGGAAUUACCUGCCUAUCACACAAUGACUCCCUUGUCAGUGACUACUCGCUCAACGGAAACAACCCCUAUAUCAUAGGUUUUGAUUGGUCACAUACACAUCAUCAUUGUCUAAUCUAGUUAUGCCUAUCUUAUCCUAAUCUUUACUAUAGAUUACUCGCUACUGUACAACCAUCAAAAGAAAAUCCAAUCAUAGGAUUCUACAUCAUCUAUCUAUAGUUCUACCUUGGAUAAGGCAGUAACUAAACAUGAACCCUAAUCUGUGACCCUAAUCUAAAUGUGAGCUUUCAACCCUUCCAAAAACAUCUGCU
rnacentral:lncRNA from 1 species